AAAUUGAAGAGUUUGAUCAUGGCUCAGAUUGAACGCUGGCGGCAGGCCUAACACAUGCAAGUCGAGCGGUAGCACAGAGAGCUUGCUCUCGGGUGACGAGCGGCGGACGGGUGAGUAAUGUCUGGGAAACUGCCUGAUGGAGGGGGAUAACUACUGGAAACGGUAGCUAAUACCGCAUAAUGUCGCAAGACCAAAGUGGGGGACCUUCGGGCCUCAUGCCAUCAGAUGUGCCCAGAUGGGAUUAGCUAGUAGGUGGGGUAACGGCUCACCUAGGCGACGAUCCCUAGCUGGUCUGAGAGGAUGACCAGCCACACUGGAACUGAGACACGGUCCAGACUCCUACGGGAGGCAGCAGUGGGGAAUAUUGCACAAUGGGCGCAAGCCUGAUGCAGCCAUGCCGCGUGUGUGAAGAAGGCCUUCGGGUUGUAAAGCACUUUCAGCGGGGAGGAAGGCGGUAAGGUUAAUAACCUUGUCGAUUGACGUUACCCGCAGAAGAAGCACCGGCUAACUCCGUGCCAGCAGCCGCGGUAAUACGGAGGGUGCAAGCGUUAAUCGGAAUUACUGGGCGUAAAGCGCACGCAGGCGGUCUGUCAAGUCGGAUGUGAAAUCCCCGGGCUUAACCUGGGAACUGCAUUCGAAACUGGCAGGCUAGAGUCUUGUAGAGGGGGGUAGAAUUCCAGGUGUAGCGGUGAAAUGCGUAGAGAUCUGGAGGAAUACCGGUGGCGAAGGCGGCCCCCUGGACAAAGACUGACGCUCAGGUGCGAAAGCGUGGGGAGCAAACAGGAUUAGAUACCCUGGUAGUCCACGCCGUAAACGAUGUCGAUUUGGAGGUUGUGCCCUUGAGGCGUGGCUUCCGGAGCUAACGCGUUAAAUCGACCGCCUGGGGAGUACGGCCGCAAGGUUAAAACUCAAAUGAAUUGACGGGGGCCCGCACAAGCGGUGGAGCAUGUGGUUUAAUUCGAUGCAACGCGAAGAACCUUACCUGGUCUUGACAUCCACAGAACUUUCCAGAGAUGGAUUGGUGCCUUCGGGAACUGUGAGACAGGUGCUGCAUGGCUGUCGUCAGCUCGUGUUGUGAAAUGUUGGGUUAAGUCCCGCAACGAGCGCAACCCUUAUCCUUUGUUGCCAGCGGUCCGGCCGGGAACUCAAAGGAGACUGCCAGUGAUAAACUGGAGGAAGGUGGGGAUGACGUCAAGUCAUCAUGGCCCUUACGACCAGGGCUACACACGUGCUACAAUGGCAUAUACAAAGAGAAGCGACCUCGCGAGAGCAAGCGGACCUCAUAAAGUAUGUCGUAGUCCGGAUUGGAGUCUGCAACUCGACUCCAUGAAGUCGGAAUCGCUAGUAAUCGUAGAUCAGAAUGCUACGGUGAAUACGUUCCCGGGCCUUGUACACACCGCCCGUCACACCAUGGGAGUGGGUUGCAAAAGAAGUAGGUAGCUUAACCUUCGGGAGGGCGCUUACCACUUUGUGAUUCAUGACUGGGGUGAAGUCGUAACAAGGUAACCGUAGGGGAACCUGCGGUUGGAUCACCUCCUUA
rnacentral:rRNA from 1 species